rnacentral:rRNA from 1 species
UACGAAGGGGGCUAGCGUUGUUCGGAAUCACUGGGCGUAAAGGGCGCGUAGGCGGCCGAUCAAGUCGGGGGUGAAAGCCUGUGGCUUAACCACAGAAUGGCCUCGAUACUGUUUGGCUUGAGACCGGAAGAGGUUAGUGGAACUGCGAGUGUAGAGGUGAAAUUCGUAGAUAUUCGCAAGAACACCAGUGGCGAAGGCGGCUAACUGGUCCGGUUCUGACGCUGAGGCGCGAAAGCGUGGGGAGCAAACAGG